GUCUACGGUCAUGCCACCCUGAACAAAUCCAAUCCCGUCUGAUCUUGGAAAGAAAGCAGGUUCAGGCCUGGUUAGUACUUGGGUGGGAGACCACCUAGGAAGACCAGGGGCUGUAGGCG
rnacentral:rRNA from 1 species